AUUGAACGCUGGCGGCAGGCUUAAAACAUGCAAGUCGAGCGAGCGGCGGACGGGUGAGUAAUGUCUGGGAAACUGCCUGAUGGAGGGGGAUACCUACUGGAAACGGUAGCUAAUACCGCAUAACAUCAGAUGUGCCCAGAUGGGAUUAGCGAGUAGGUGGGGGAAUGGCUCACCUGGUCGACGAUCCCUCGCUGGUAUGAGAGGAUGACCAUCGAUAUGGGAACUUAGACACCGUCCAGACUCCUACGGGAGUCAGCAGUGGGGAAUAUUGCACAAUGGGCCCAAGCCUGAUGCAGCCAUGCCGCUUGUGUGAAGAAGGCCUGUGGGUUGUAAAGCACUUUCAGCGAGGAGGCGUUACUCGCAGAAGAAGCACCGGCUAACUCCGUGCCAGCAGCCGCGGUAAUAC
rnacentral:rRNA from 1 species